GAUGAACGCUAGCGGCAGGCCUAACACAUGCAAGUCGAGGGGUAGCAGGAUUAAGCUUGCUUAAUUGCUGACGACCGGCGCACGGGUGCGUAACGCGUAUGCAACCUACCUUAUACUGGGGUAUAGCCCGGAGAAAUUCGGAUUAAUCCCCCAUAGUACUAAUGAAUCGCAUGGUUUAUUAGUUAAAGCAUUGCGGUAUAAGAUGGGCAUGCGUCCUAUUAGCUAGAUGGUGAGGUAACGGCUCACCAUGGCUACGAUAGGUAGGGGGCCUGAGAGGGUGGUCCCCCACACUGGUAAUGAGAAACGGACCAGACUCCUACGGGAGGCAGCAGUGAGGAAUAUUGGUCAAUGGGCGCAAGCCUGAACCAGCCAUGCCGCGUGCAGGAAGAAUGCCCUAUGGGUUGUAAACUGCUUUUAUUUGGGAAUAAACCUCUUUACGUGUAGAGAGCUGAAGGUACCAAAUGAAUAAGCACCGGCUAACUCCGUGCCAGCAGCCGCGGUAA
rnacentral:rRNA from 1 species